rnacentral:rRNA from 1 species
UACGGAGGAUGCGAGCGUUAUCCGGAUUUAUUGGGUUUAAAGGGUGCGUAGGCGGACGCUUAAGUCAGCGGUAAAAUUGCGGGGCUCAACCUCGUCGAGCCGUUGAAACUGGGUGUCUUGAGUGGGCGAGAAGUACGCGGAAUGCGUGGUGUAGCGGUGAAAUGCAUAGAUAUCAUGCAGAACUCCGAUUGCGAAGGCAGCGUACCGGCGCCCAACUGACGCUGAAGCACGAAGGCGUGGGUAUCGAACAGG